AUUCGGAAACCCACCCUUGUUCAGAGUCUUUGGGAGAGGAGAGGCGAUUUCCUUGGGUUAGCGGGUGAAAUGCUUGUUUAUCAUGAGGCAGCCCCUGCCACGGAAGGGUGCUCCUCUGGAACCAGUACUGAACGCUCAGGCGCGAAAGCUAUGGGAGGCGAACCAGCAUCUAGAUACCUCGGUAGUGCCCGCUGUAAACGAAUGUUCACUAGUUGGUUGUGGCGUAUUGGACCCCCCUCAGUGCCCCAGCUACCGCCAUUAAGUGAACCGCCCUCGGGGAGUUACCGGUCGCAUGACUAAAACUCAAAAGGAAUUGACCGGCGGCCCGCACAAGCCGGUGGAAGCAUGUGGUUUAAUUUCGAUGAUACGACGAGCAACCCUCACCUGCGCUUAAAUGUAGAGUGCAUUUUCCAGAGAUAGGAAUUCCCUUCGGGGCUUUUCUGCAAGGUGCUGCAUGGUUGUCGUCAGCUCGUGCCGUGAGGUGUCGGGUUAAGUCCCAUAACGAGCGCAACCCUUAUCGUUAGUUGCCAGCGGGUAAUGCCGGGGACUCUAGCGAAACUGCCACCGUAAGGUGAGAGGAAGGUGGGGAUGACGUCAAAUCAGCACGGCCCUUAUGUCCAGGGCUACACACGUGUUACAAUGGCCGGUACAGAGGGCAGCUACCUGGUGACAGGAUGCUAAUCUCGAAAACCGGUCUCAGUUCGGAUCGAAGUCUGCAACUCGA
rnacentral:rRNA from 1 species